UCUAUAUUUUGUUAUGCACACCUUUCUAAACUAUACUUGUCUUCUUAACACAUGUUCAUUGUCCAGUAGAAGCUGUAGAUUUCAGCGUACAAUAAUUUCCAAAACGGUAGAAGGUAAGAACCAUGUUACACAUGAUCCUUUUGUGUUUUCUUGAUUUAAAGUAGCAUGUACCUGUUAAACUUGGAGAUGAUUUUCGUGGUGUAUUUAUAAAUUAUCAGCCAAGGUUAUUCCUUCAGGCAAUUUUUUCUUCCCUGAAGCCUAGGCAUAUUGGUUGGUUGGUUGGCUCUAUUUACUAGCACGAAGAUAACUACUAUGUGUUGCUUAGUUAUUAGCGGAUCGAGUGUAUGAAUGAUCUUAUGUUCACCCAGACUUAUAAGUUUCUAAAUACUAGGCUCUUGGGACUUAUUUCUAAGGGUUAGUUUUUUUCUGGAUUCAUGUACUCUGGUGCUACAACCUAGGUAAAGCUCCUUCACAAUAGUGUUUUAAGCUUAAAUUGAUAACUCAAUCAAAGUUAAAGCAUUAGGCUCUCUGCUCUGUGUACGGCCCAAGUGUUCUACAUAAUGCUUUAUAUAGUCCCAAUGUGACUUCUUUGUUUUCUUAGCGGUCGGUGAUAUUUAAUAUUCAGUCAGAUCUUGGAGGAAAUGAAAAAUAUGCGAGUGUGUGUGCAUGUGUAUGUGUGCGUGUGUGCAUGCACACGCGCGUGUGUGUGUUUGUUUUCUCCUGUUUUGGUUUUAGUGCAGUAGCUGAAAGUUUAUGUAUAGUCAAAUUUAAUUGACUAACUGGAGGGUUCAUAUAUCUGUAUGAAAAUAAGCUAAUACAAACGCAAAAUUGUUGAAUGCAUUAAUCUUCGUUCAGUGUGUGACCCAUAGUUAAUGCACAUUCUUGCAUUAGAAAGAAAAUGGAUAACCUUCUGAAAUGCUGAACUUCCUAGAACUUCUCUUUUCAUAAGAAAAUAAACUGUCGAUGAUGUGAAUAGAAGCACCUGUAGUACCACUGACCUUUGGCAACCUACGUGUCGUGCCUCCAAGGCAGGCCAUGAGUGAUGGCUGCCGUGAUGUCAGCCUUGCAAAAAAAAGGGCUUUGUUGACUGAUGGCUAGCUAUAGUUUGUGUUUGUUGUUUACAUGACAGUUUUUUAACCAUUUGACCUAUCUUUUAUAGACGGUAUAGUUCACAAAAACUAAACUUUUGAUAGAAAGUACAUGGGUUUAUAGUAGACCAUUCUAGACCAUAUCUCUUGAAUACAUAGUUUAUAAUAUUUUCUGGUUUUAAAUACUCCCUCUGUCCCAAAAUUCUUGUCUUAGAUUUGUCUAGAUACGGAUGAAUCAAGUCACAUUUUAGUAUUAGAUACAUCCGAAUCUAGACAAAUAUAAGACAAGAAUUUUGGGAGGGAGGGAGUAUAUGAGAGUGCCCAUCUUACUUAGUGGCAAUGCUAUGCUUCAGAGUAUACAAUGUUUUGCAUACCAGUAUAAUUCAUAAGUGGUUUUUCGUAUUCAGGUGUUACUAAUAUGGUGAGUGAUUUAAGGGGAGGCAUGGGGAGAAGAGCAGUCCAAAUGGUGGAUGGAGCAUGUGACCUGUUGAUGUUAGUUUCCAUUUUCGGAAAGAACAAAUUUUCUAUAAUUUGAGUGUAUGGUGAUGUGUUAAAGUCAAUCAUUUGGAUUCCCAACUAGACCAUUGUGUGUGUUCUUUAUUUUAUUGUGCAUUGAUAAAAUAUUUCAGUGCCCGUGUGCACCAAGUUGAAUUUUGAAACAGAUGAGGGGACAACACUGCAUAAGGGAGUUUACCCUUCAGGAAUGUUCUUGUUUGCUGCUGUGAUUAAUAGUAGGAAAUUUUAUAC
rnacentral:lncRNA from 1 species